UGGUUGGUGCUCCUGCGCCGGAGGAGUUCUGCGUCUCGGGGUGGUGACUGGGUCCAGAAUGGCUUCGGAUUCGGGGAACCAGGGGACCCUCUGCACGGUGUCCAGGAUGUGGAGGUGCACUUGGAGGACCAGAUGGUCUUGGUACACACCACUCUACCCAGCCAGGAGGUGCAGGCUCUCCUGGAAGGCACGGGGCGGCAGGCGGUACUCAAGGGCAUGGGCAGCGGCCAGUUGCGUGAGUGACCACUGUGGCCUUGGCCCCUCUCGGAGGGAGGUGGCUCAGAGCUGGUACAAAUCUAAUCAUAGGAUUCUCAGGCUCUGGGUUGGAGUGGCUUUGAGGAAGGUGUGAAAAUUAUGUGAGACUCCCUGCCCUUCCCGAGCUGCUGAAGAGGUGUGCUGGGUGAGGUGGCAAGCCAGCCCAAGUGUCUAAUACCUUGCAGAGAAUCUGGGGGCAGCAGUGGCCAUCCUGGGGGGGCCUGGCACCGUGCAGGGGGUGGUGCGCUUCCUACAGCUGACCCCUGAGCGCUGCCUCAUCGAGGGAACUAUUGACGGCCUGGAGCCUGGGCUGCAUGGACUCCACGUCCAUCAGUACG
rnacentral:lncRNA from 1 species